GACGAACGCUGGCGGCGUGCUUAACACAUGCAAGUCGAACGGAAAGGCCCUGCUCUUGUGGGUUUCUCGAGUGGCGAACGGGUGAGUAACACGUGAGUAUCCUGCCCUUGACUUUGGGGUAUCUUCAGGAAACUGGGGCUCAUACCCGAUAUGAGCUCCUGCUGCAUGGUGGUCGUUGGAAAGUUUCGGCGGUUGGGGCUGGACUCGCGGCUUAUCAGCUUGUUGGUGGGGUAGUGGCUGACCAAGGCUUUGAAGGGUAGCCUGCCUGGGAGGGUGAACGGGGACCAUGGGACUGCGAUACGGACCAGACGCGUACGGGCGGCAGUAGGGGGGAGCCUGGCAGAACGGGGGGGAGUGUGAUGUAGAAGCGCUGGGUGCGGGAUGCCGGCUUUUGGGUUGUAAACAGCUGUCGAAUGUGACGAGGAGGGCGUGACGGUAAUGGGUAAAGAAGCACCGGCUAACUACGUG
rnacentral:rRNA from 1 species